rnacentral:rRNA from 1 species
CCUACGGGGGGCAGCAGUAGGGAAUCUUCGGCAAUGGGGGGAACCCUGACCGAGCAACGCCGCGUGAACGAAGAAGUUAUUCGUAAUGUAAAGUUCUUUUAACAGGGAAGAAAGAGAAAUUUGACGGUACCUGAUGAAUAAGCUCCGGCUAACUACGUGCCAGCAGCCGCGUUAAUACGUAGGGAGCGAGGGUAAUCCGGAAUUAUUGCGCGAAAAGGGUGCGUAGAUGGCAUAGUAAGUCUUUUGUAAAAAUGCUGGGCUCAACCCAGUAGGGCAAAAGAUACUGCAAAGCUAGAGUGUGAAAGAGGCAAGUGGAACUACAUGUGUAGCGGUAAAAUGCGUAGAUAUAUGUAAGAACACCAGUGGCGAAGGCGGCUUGCUGGGUCGAUACUGACAUUUAGGCACGAAAGCGUGGGGAGCAAACAGGAUUAUAUACCCGAGUAGUC